rnacentral:rRNA from 1 species
UACGAAGGGGCUAGCGUUGCUCGGAAUCACUGGGCGUAAAGCGCACGUAGGCGGACUCUUAAGUCGGGGGUGAAAUCCUGGAGCUCAACUCCAGAACUGCCUUCGAUACUGGGAGUCUUGAGUUCGGGAGAGGUGAGUGGAACUGCGAGUGUAGAGGUGAAAUUCGUAGAUAUUCGCAAGAACACCAGUGGCGAAGGCGGCUCACUGGCCCGAUACUGACGCUGAGGUGCGAAAGCGUGGGGAGCAAACAGG